rnacentral:rRNA from 1 species
UACGGGGGGGUAAGCGUUGUUCGGAAUUACUGGGCGUAAAGGGCUCGUAGGCGGCCAACUAAGUCAGACGUGAAAUCCCUCAGCUUAACUGGGGAACUGCGUCUGAUACUGGAUGGCUUGGAUCCGGGAGAGGGAUGCGGAAUUCCAGGUGUAGCGGUGAAAUGCGUAGAUAUCUGGAGGAACACCGGUGGCGAAGGCGGCAUCCUGGACCGGUAUUGACGCUGAGGAGCGAAAGCCAGGGGAGCAAACGGGG